GUGGAUUCUGUUUACCUGUGUUUGUCUCACUCCAAACCUUGCUCCUUCACUGCUCCAGCCAAGACACUGCCCUGCAUGCAGUCUUGUUCCAGUUCUGUCCCAGCCUUGUUCCUGCCUUCUGUGAUGCCAGGUUGCCAGGGUUACAGUGUUACCAACUCCUGCAACUUUCAAGUUAUCACAUUAUUCAGUGACUUUCUUAAAAGGAGUCCAGAAGCUGGGGAGUUAUGUUACCCUUCUGGACAACAUGUGGAAUGACUCUGGCCAACUCUGGAAAAAGCUGCAGCCAGCCAUGUUUGACUGGAGGUUUUCUGGAAUGCAGAGGUCUUUUAAGGAAGAUGAUCUGUGAAUAAUUAACAAACCAUCCUAUUUACUAUAAACAUUGCUUCCUGAUGAAACAGCUGGAAGCACAUUAUCUUAAAAUAACAUACGCGUUCAACUAUUUUUGAAUUAUAGUCUUGAUUUUUUUCAGUAGUGCUUUGCAAAUUAUGAAUUUGACAGUCUCCAUAGUUACUUACUAAUCAGCAUUAACCAAAAUCCUUGAAAGUAUUCUUUGAAAUUCAGAAAGUUGUACACAACAAUUAACUAUGGCACUUAAGAUUUUCUUCCUAUUUAACUUAUCCUGGACACAUACAGAGACAGAAACUGGAAGAAGUGAGAGAAAGAAAAGACAAGAAGAGAGAAAAUUCAGAUUCAGAGCCAAUUUUUGGAAGGAAAGAGGCAUAGUUAGGCAGAGAAGAAAAGCAGCAGACAUGCACCUUCAGAACUGUAAGAGUGAGCAGAUGGCCUGAGGCAUCUCGGGAACCCAGGAGAGCAGAUAAGGGCUUUUAUUUUUCUGUAACAUAGGGGAGUGAUGAGCUUGAAUAAUCAGA